GCCAAUUGUUAAUACGUCUUAUUUCCAGUUGGGAAACUUGCCACAUGUCUGCAAUGUAACAAAACUUACAAAUAUCAAACGUCCUUGUACAAUCAUCAAAAAUACGAAUGUGGGAAAAUGAAAUCCUUCAGCUGUUCCAAAUGUGGCAAGGCCUAUUGGCACAAGCAGACUCUCAAGAACCAUUUGAAACUCAAUCGCUGCAAACCUAUCAAUACAUUUGAUGUGAUUCAAAGCAACUUAUUGGAAGGUUUUGAUUUGUUUCAGUAGUCGGUCAGGUGAAAAACUGUAUACUUGUUUGGUGAAUUAAAAAAACACGACAAACUAAUAUAUCCUGCCAUGAUUGUGGAAGAUCCUACAGUUGGAAAGGCACGCUAACAAGACACAUGAAAUACGAAUGCGGAAAUAAACAAAAAUUCCAUUGCCUUUAUUGUGACAAAUUUACGAAACAAAAAUAUAAUUUGAUGCUGCAUGUUAGACACGCUCAUCCAGAAUACCUAGCUUAAUUUGAAAAAUGGUACUAUAAAUAUCCCCGACAGAAAUAAGGGUUAAUGUAUUUUUUACAUUAAAUUUUCUUUUUACUAA